AGAGUUUGAUCCUGGCUCAGGAUGAACGCUAGCGGCAGGCUUAAUACAUGCAAGUCGAGGGGCAGCGGGGGUAGUAAUACCUGCCGGCGACCGGCAAACGGGUGCGGAACACGUACAGAACCUUCCUUUAAGUGGGGGAUAGCCCAGGGAAACUUGGAUUAAUACCCCUUAACAUUAUGAGAUGGCAUCAUUUUAUAAUUAAAGCUCCGGCGCUUAAAGAUGGCUGUGCGGCUGAUUAGGUAGUUGGCGGGGUAACAGCCCACCAAGCCUGCGAUCAGUAACUGGUGUGAGAGCACGACCAGUCACACGGGCACUGAGACACGGGCCCGACUCCUACGGGAGGCAGCAGUAAGGAAUAUUGGGCAAUGGACGCAAGUCUGACCCAGCCAUGCCGCGUGAAGGAUGACGGCCCUCUGGGUUGUAAACUUCUUUUAUCUGGGACGAAAAAGGGGAAUUCUUUCUCAACUGACGGUACCAGAUGAAUAAGCACCGGCUAACUCCGUGCCAGCAGCCGCGGUAAUACGGAGGGUGCAAGCGUUAUCCGGAUUCACUGGGUUUAAAGGGUGCGUAGGCGGGCAUGUAAGUCAGUGGUGAAAUCUCCGGGCUUAACCCGGAAACUGCCGUUGAUACUAUGUGUCUUGAAUAUCGUUGAGGUUUGCGGAAUAUGUCAUGUAGCGGUGAAAUGCUUAGAUAUGACAUAGAACACCAAUUGCGAAGGCAGCAGGCUAACCGAACAUUGACGCUGAGGCACGAAAGCGUGGGGAUCAAACAGGAUUAGAUACCCUAGUAGUCC
rnacentral:rRNA from 1 species